GAUGAACGCUCGCUGCGUGCCUAAUACAUGCAAGUCGAGCGAACAGACGAUUAACUUGCUCCUCUGACGUUAGCUGCAGACGGGUGAGUAAGACUUGGGUAACCUACCUAUAACACUGGGAUAACUUCGAGAAACCGGAGCUAAUACUGGUUAAUAUAUUUAACCGCUUAGUUCAAUAGUUGAAGACUGUUUUUCUGUCACUUAUAGAUGGAUCCGCGCCGCAUUAGCUAGUUGGUAAGGUAACGGCUUACCAAGGCAACGAUGCGUAGCCGACCUGAGAGGGUGAUAAGCCACCCCGCAUCUGAGCCAAGACACAGACUAAUAUGGGAGGGAGCAGUAGAGAAUCUUCCGCAAUUGGAGAAAGCCUGACGUAGAACCGCCGAGUGACUGAUAAAGUUCUUGGGAUCGUAAAUCUAUGCUACUAGGGAAGAACAAAUGUGUAAGUAACUAUGCACGUCUUGACGGUACCUAACCAGAAAGCAACGGCUAACUCCGUG
rnacentral:rRNA from 1 species